rnacentral:rRNA from 1 species
ACCUACGGGAGGCAGCAGUGGGGAAUAUUGCACAAUGGGCGAAAGCCUGAUGCAGCAACGCCGCGUGAAGGAAGAAGGGUUUCGGCUCGUAAACUUCUUUUUACAGGGAAGAAAGAAAUGACGGUACCUGAAUAAGAAGCCCCGGCUAAUUUCGUGCCAGCAGCCGCGGGAAUACGUAGGGGGCAAGCGUUAUCCGGAAUUACUGGGUGUAAAGGGGGAGAAGGCGGCAGGGUAAGCCAGAUGUGAAAGCGUUGGGCUUAACCCGA